AGAGUUUGAUCCUGGCUCAGAAUAAAUGCUAUUGGUAUGCUUAACACAUGCAAGUCGAAUGUUUGAAAAAAAAAUGGGCGAACGGGUGCGUAACACGUGGAUUACCUACCUUUUAAUUCAGAAUAAAAUACUGAAUAAUAUAUAAAGUUUAAAAACGUUAAAAGACGGGUCUGCGGAAGAUUAGGUAGUUGGUGGUUUAAAAAGACUACCAAGCCGAUGAUCUUUAGCUGGUUUUGAAAGAAUGAUCAGCCACAUUGGGACUGAGACACGGUCCCAAACUUUUUUUAAAGGCAGCAGUGAGGAAUUUUGGACAAUGGGGCGGAAGCCUGAUCCAGCAAUACCAAGUGAGUGAAGAAGGCUAAUUGGGUUGUAAAUCUCUUUCGUUAAGGAGGAAAAAGACAGUACUUAAGGAAGAAGUCCCGGCUAAUAUCCGUG
rnacentral:rRNA from 1 species